CGUUGUCCUAUCAUCGCUAUCACAAGAAACGCAAGGACAGCACGACAGGCUCAUCUAUUCAGGGCGAUACUUCCUUUAGUGUACAAAGAGGAACGAUGCAGCGACUGGUUGAAAGACGUCGACAACAGGGUUCAGUAUGGAAUAACUUUUGGUAAAGUAAGAGGAUGUAUUAGUUCAGGAGAUCCCGUUGUUGUUAUUACAGGAUGGAAACAGGGUUCUGGAUACACCAACACCCUACGUAUAGUUUACGUGGAUUAAACGAGGACUUGUUUUAUAGGCAACAAAUUCCAUGUUUAGAAUUAAUAUCUAUAAAAAAGCUAUUCGUCGUAAUACCAUCGCAGCCAUGGUUUAAAUAAAAUAAAAAAUAUUUAUUUAAAAAAAACUGUAAAACUAA